rnacentral:rRNA from 1 species
AUGAACGCUGGCGGCGUGCCUAAUACAUGCAAGUCGAGCGGUAAGGCCUCUUCGGAGGUACACGAGCGGCGGACGGCUGAGUAACACGUAGGAACGUACCCCGAAGUGAGGGAUAACUGCUCGAAAGAGUAGCUAAUACCGCAUGUGAUCUAAGGAUUAAAGCUUCGGCGCUUUGGGAACGGCCUGCGCAUGAUUAGCUAGUUGGUGAGGUAAUAGCUCACCAAGGCGACGAUCAUUAGCUGGUCUGAGAGGAUGAUCAGCCAGACUGGGACUGAGACACGGCCCAGACUCCUACGGGAGGCAGCAGUAGGGAAUUUUCCACAAUGGGCGAAAGCCUGAUGGAGCAACGCCGCGUGCAGGAUGAAUGCCUUCGGGUUGUAAACUGCUUUUAUAUGUGACGAAUAUGACGGUAGCAUAUGAAUAAGGAUCGGCUAACUCCGUGCCAGCAGCCGCAGUAAAAC